rnacentral:rRNA from 1 species
CCUACGGGUGGCUGCAGUGAGGAAUAUUGGUCAAUGGACGAGAGUCUGAACCAGCCAAGUAGCGUGAAGGAUGACUGCCCUAUGGGUUGUAAACUUCUUUUAUAUGGGAAUAAAACGUUCCACGUGUGGGAUUUUGUAUGUACCAUAUGAAUAAGGAUCGGCUAAGUCCGUGCCAGCAGCCGCGGUAAUACGGAGGAACCGAGCGUUAUCCGGAUUUAUUGGGUUUAAAGGGAGCGUAGGUGGAUUGUUAAGUCAGUUGUGAAGGUUUGCGGCUCAAGCGUAAAAUUGCAGUUGAAACUGGCAGUCUUGAGUACAGUAGAGGUGGGCGGAAUUCGUGGUGUAGCGGUGAAAUGCUUAGAUAUCACGAAGAACUCCGAUUGCGAAGGCAGUUCACUGGACUGCAACUGACACUGAGGCUCGAAAGUGUGGGUAUCAAACAGGAUUAGAUACCCUAGUAGUC